UACGUAGGGAGCAAGCGUUGUUCGGAAUUACUGGGCGUAAAGGGCGCGUAGGCGGCCUGCUAAGUCGAACGUGAAAUCCCCGGGCUCAACCCGGGAACUGCGUCCGAUACUGGCAGGCUUGAAUCCGGGAGAGGGAUGUGGAAUUCCAGGUGUAGCGGUGAAAUGCGUAGAUAUCUGGAGGAACACCGGUGGCGAAGGCGGCAUCCUGGACCGGCAUUGACGCUGAGGCGCGAAAGCCAGGGGAGCAAACGGG
rnacentral:rRNA from 1 species